rnacentral:rRNA from 1 species
CCGAUUAAAGUGGCACGCGAGCUGGGUUCAGAACGUCGUGAGACAGUUCGGUCCCUAUCCAUCGUGGGCGCAGGAUACUUGAGAGGAUUUGUCCUUAGUACGAGAGGACCGGGAUGAACGCACCUAUUGUGCACCUGUUGUCGCGCCAGCGGCACGGCAGGGUAGCGAAGUGCGGAGCAGAUAAACGCUGAAAGCAUCUAAGCGUGAAACUGACCUCAAGAUAAGGUAUCCCAUAUCGUAAGAUAGUAAGACCCCUCAAAGACGAUGAGGUUGAUAGGUCGGGGGUGGAAGCACGGUAACGUGUGGAGCUGACCGAUACUAAUAGGUCGAGGGCUUGAUCU